rnacentral:rRNA from 13 species
AACCCACGUAUGUUGAAAAAUGCGGGGAUGACUUGUGGAUAGGAGUGAAAGGCUAAUCAAGCUCGGAGAUAGCUGGUUCUCCUCGAAAACUAUUUAGGUAGUGCCUUGCAUAUUAACUACUGGGGGUAGAGCACUGUUUCGGCUAGGGGGUCAUACCGACUUACCAAACCGAUGCAAACUCCGAAUACCAGUAAGUUUAAGUGCAGGAGACACACGGCGGGUGAUAAGGUCCGUCGUGAAAAGGGAAACAGCCCAGACCGCCAGCUAAGGUCCCCAAAUCACAGUUAAGUGGGAAACGAUGUGGGAAGGCAUAGACAGCUAG